rnacentral:rRNA from 1 species
UCCCUAGAUGUUCUGGGCCGCACGCGCGCUACACUGAACAGUUCAACAAGUCUUAACCUUGGCCGAUAGGUCUGGGUAAUCUUUGAACGCUGUUCGUGAUUGGGAUAGACCUUUGCAAUUAUGGGUCUUCAACGAGGAAUUCCUAGUAAACGCAAGUCAUCAGCUUGCAUUGAUUACGUCCCUGCCCUUUGUACACACCGCCCGUCGCACCUACCGAUUGAAUGGUCCGGUGAAAUCUCGGGACGGCGGCUUGGUCGCUUGCGUCCGACUGCUGAAACUUGAUUAAACCAUAUCAUUUAGAGGAAGGUGAAGUCGUANCA